rnacentral:rRNA from 1 species
CAGUCGCCGCGGGAAUACGUAGGGUGCGAGCGUUAAUCGGAAUUACUGGGCGUAAAGCGUGCGCAGGCGGUUAUAUAAGACAGAUGUGAAAUCCCCGGGCUCAACCUGGGGGCUGCGUUUGAUACUUGAUUGCUAGAGUGGGGAAGAGGGUCGUGGAAUUCCCAGUGUAGAGGUGAAAUUCGUAGAUAUUGGGAAGAACACCGGUGGCGAAAGCGGCGACCUGGUCCUUGACUGACGCUGAGGCGCGAAAGCGUGGGGAGCAAACAGGAUUAGAUACCCCCGUAGUCCCUGUCUCUUAUAC